rnacentral:rRNA from 1 species
GACGAACGCUGGCGGCGUGCUUAACACAUGCAAGUCGAACGGAAAGGCCCCUUUGGGGGUACUCGAGUGGCGGACGGGGGAGUAACACGUGAGUAACCUGCCCUUGACUUCGGGAUAACUUCAGGAAACUGGGGCUAAUACCGGAUAGGAAUCCUUGCUGCAUGGUGGGGGUUGGAAAGCUUCGGCGGUUUUGGAUGGACUCGCGGCUUAUCAGCUUGUUGGUGGGGUAGUGGCUUACCAAGGCUUUGACGGGUAGCCGGCCUGGGAGGGCGACCGGCCACAUUGGGACUGAGAUACGGCCCAGACUCCUACGGGAGGCAGCAGGGGGGAAUAUUGCACAAUGGGCGGAAGCCUGAUGCAGCAACGCCGCGUGCGGGAUGACGGGCUUCGGGUUGGAAACCGCUUUCAGCAGGGGAGAAGCUUGUGGUGACGGUACCUGCAGAAGAAGCACCGGCUAACUACGUG